rnacentral:misc_RNA from 1 species
AUCAUCCGAAAGGACAUGUUGGGA